AACGAACGCUGGCGGCAUGCCUAACACAUGCAAGUCGAACGAGACCUUCGGGUCUAGUGGCGCACGGGUGCGUAACGCGUGGGAACCUGCCCUUAGGUUCGGAAUAACUCCCCGAAAGGGGUGCUAAUACCGGAUAAUGUCUUCGGACCAAAGAUUUAUCGCCUUUGGAUGGGCCCGCGUUGGAUUAGCUAGUUGGUAGGGUAAAAGCCUACCAAGGCGACGAUCCAUAGCUGGUCUGAGAGGAUGAUCAGCCACACUGGGACUGAGACACGGCCCAGACUCCUACGGGAGGCAGCAGUGGGGAAUAUUGGACAAUGGGCGAAAGCCUGAGCCAGCAAUGCCGCGUGAGUGAUGAAGGCCUUAGGGUUGUAAAGCUCUUUUACCCGGGAUGAUAAUGACAGUACCGGGAGAAUAAGCUCCGGCUAACUCCG
rnacentral:rRNA from 1 species